AUUGAACGCUGGCGGCAUGCCUUACACAUGCAAGUCGAACGGCAGCGCGGGAGCAAUCCUGGCGGCGAGUGGCGAACGGGUGAGUAAUAUAUCGGAACGUGCCCAGUAGUGGGGGAUAGCCCGGCGAAAGCCGGAUUAAUACCGCAUACGACCUACGGGGGAAAGGGGGGGAUCGCAAGACCUCUCGCUAUUGGAGCGGCCGAAAUCAGAUUAGGUAGUUGGUGGGGUAAAGGCCUACCAAGCCUGCGAUCUGUAGUUGGUCUGAGAGGACGACCAGCCACACUGGGACUGAGACACGGCCCAGACUCCUACGGGAGGCAGCAGUGGGGAAUUUUGGACAAUGGGCGCAAGCCUGAUCCAGCAAUGCCGCGUGCAGGAAGAAGGCCUUCGGGUUGUAAACUGCUUUUGUCAGGGAAGAAAUCCUCUGGGUUAAUACCUCGGAGGGAUGACGGUACCUGAAGAAUAAGCACCGGCUAACUACGUGCCAGCAGCCGCGGUAAGAC
rnacentral:rRNA from 1 species